rnacentral:rRNA from 1 species
CUCCUACGGGCGGCAGCAGUAGGGAAUUUUCCACAAUGGGCGAAAGCCUGAUGGAGCAACGCCGCGUGCAGGAUGAAGGCCUUCGGGUUGUAAACUGCUUUUCUCUGUGACGAUUAUGACGCUAACAGAGGAAUAAGGAUCUGCUAACUACGUGCCAGCCGCCGCGGUAAUAC